UAGUCCACACCGUAAACGAUGGUUACUAGCUGUUUGGACUAAUUGAGGUCUAAGUGGCCAAGCGAAAGUGAUAAGUAACCCACCUGGGGAGUACGUUCGCAAGAAUGAAACUCAAAGGAAUUGACGGGGGCCCGCACAAGCGGUGGAGCAUGUGGUUUAAUUCGAUGAUACGCGAGGAACCUUACCAGGGCUUAAAUGCAGUAUGACAGAUUUGGAAACAGAUUUUUCUUCGGACAUAUUGCAAGGUACUGCAUGGUUGUCGUCAGCUCGUGCCGUGAGGUGUCGGGUUAAGUCCUAUAACGAGCGCAACCCCUAUUGCUAGUUGCCAGCGGAUAAUGCCGGGGACUCUAGUGAGACUGCCGGUGCAAACCGUGAGGAAGGUAAGGAUGACGUCAAGUCAGCAUGCCCCUUACGCUCUGGGCUACACACGUGCUACAAUGGUCGUGACAAAGAGUUGCUAGUCUGCGAAGGCAAGCCAAAUCUCAUAAACGCGGCCUUAGUCGG
rnacentral:rRNA from 1 species